GCACCGACGGUGUAUGGUACACUCGCCGACAGAAUGGGCUAUCAAUUGAGCAGUCGUUACAACGGCGGACUGGGGUUCGAUUCCCUGUCGGUGCA